rnacentral:piRNA from 1 species
UNUGUAGCUGACUUCCCAGAGAGUAGCCAGG